rnacentral:rRNA from 1 species
AGCGGCGGACGGGUGAGUAACGCGUGGGUAACCUGCCUCAUACAGGGGGAUAACAGUUGGAAACGGCUGCUAAUACCGCAUAAGCGCACAGUACCGCAUGGUACGGUGUGAAAAACUCCGGUGGUAUGAGAUGGACCCGCGCCUGAUUAGCUAGUUGGUGGGGUAACGGCCUACCAAGGCGACGAUCAGUAGCCGACCUGAGAGGGUGACCGGCCACAUUGGGACUGAGACACGGCCCAA